UACGAAGGGGGGCUAGCGUUUGUUCGGAAUUACUGGGCGUAAAGCGCACGUAGGCGGACUAUUAAGUCAGGGGUGAAAUCCCGGGGCUCAACCCCGGAACUGCCUUUGAUACUGGUAGUCUCGAGUCCGGAAGAGGUGAGUGGAAUUCCGAGUGUAGAGGUGAAAUUCGUAGAUAUUCGGAGGAACACCAGUGGCGAAGGCGGCUCACUGGUCCGGUACUGACGCUGAGGUGCGAAAGCGUGGGGGAGCAAACAGG
rnacentral:rRNA from 1 species